GUUUGCUUUACGCCUUUUCAAGCAAUGCAUUUCUAAGAAAAACUACAGCCAGUGCCACCACAUAAUUGGAGAAACUUAUUUUUCUUGGGCACAUUUACCCUUAGUCAUUGGAACGAGUUCUGCUAAAUUGGAAGAGAUCAGGAACAGAAAAAGCAGCACGAAUGGAGGCAAGAACUUUAGUUUUGAUGGGGCGCACUGGAAAUGGCAAGAGUUCAACUGGAAAUUCCAUCGUUGGGCGCAAUGUUUUUAAAACUGGCUUCAGUUUUACAUCUGUUACAAAGGAGUGUCAACUGGAACAAACAACUUUGAAAGAUGGCCGAAUCAUAAAUGUGAUCGACACCCCUGAAAUUUGAAGAGAAGAUGGAAGGAAAUGUUAAAGGUAGUUCAACAUCUGCUAUGGAUGUAGUUCCCUCUUUUUGUAAUUGACUUAGAUAGGUGGGUCUGAGGGGGAUCCUUGAUAUAAAAUCUUUCAACCCCUCUUGGUUUGAUGUUAGGUUUCCUCACAAUAUGGUAUAUGUAUGUGAUGAUUUUUUGAAGGUUUUAAGCAUAUAUUGUGAUCUGGAUGUGAUUUUUGAUGGUUUGACAAAUAGUGUAUUAGACUAUUUGAAAACCUAACUCGUG